GACGAACGCUGGCGGCGUGCUUAACACAUGCAAGUCGAACGGAAAGGCCCUGCUUUUGUGGGGUGCUCGAGUGGCGAACGGGUGAGUAACACGUGAGUAACCUGCCCUUGACUUUGGGAUAACUUCAGGAAACUGGGGCUAAUACCGGAUAGGAGCUCCUGCUGCAUGGUGGGGGUUGGAAAGUUUCGGCGGUUGGGGAUGGACUCGCGGCUUAUCAGCUUGUUGGUGGGGUAGUGGCUUACCAAGGCUUUGACGGGUAGCCGGCCUGAGAGGGUGACCGGCCACAUGAGGACUGAGAUACGGACCAGACUCCUACGGGAGGCAGCAGUGGGGAAUAUUGCACAAUGGGCGGAAGCCUGAUGCAGCAACGCCGCGUGCGGGAUGACGGCCUUCGGGUUGUAAACCGCUUUCGCCUGUGACGAAGCGUGAGUGACGGUAAUGGGUAAAGAAGCACCGGCUAACUACGUG
rnacentral:rRNA from 1 species